ACGCCUAUAGCUUAGUUGGUAGAGCAAGAGACUUUUAAUCUCAAGGUCGCACGUUCGAAUCGUGCUGGGCGUACCA
rnacentral:tRNA from 1 species